rnacentral:rRNA from 1 species
GAUGAGCGCUGGCGGCGUGCCUAAUACAUGCAAGUCGAGCGAACAGACGAGGAGCUUGCUCCUCUGACGUUAGCGGCGGACGGGUGAGUAACACGUGGAUAACCUACCUAUAAGACUGGGAUAACUUCGGGAAACCGGAGCUAAUACCGGAUAAUAUAUUGAACCGCAUGGUUCAAUAGUGAAAGACGGUUUUGCUGUCACUUAUAGAUGGAUCCGCGCCGCAUUAGCUAGUUGGUAAGGUAACGGCUUACCAAGGCAACGAUGCGUAGCCGACCUGAGAGGGUGAUCGGCCACCCUGGAACUGAGACACGGUCCAGACUCCUACGGGAGGCAGCAGUAGGGAAUCUUCCGCAAUGGGCGAAAGCCUGACGGAGCAACGCCGCGUGAGUGAUGAAGGUCUUCGGAUCGUAAAACUCUGUUAUUAGGGAAGAACAAAUGUGUAAGUAACUAUGCACGUCUUGACGGUACCUAAUCAGAAAGCCACGGCUAACUACGUG